ensembl:misc_RNA Metazoa_SRP Metazoan signal recognition particle RNA
GCUGGGCAUGGUGGCACACACCUGUAGUCCCAACUACUUGGGAGGCUGAGGCAGGAGGAUCACUUGAGCCCAGGAGGUCAAGGGUGCAGUGAGUCCCAAUCGUGCCACUGCACUCUAGCCUGGGCAACAGAGCAAGACCCUGUCUCAA